rnacentral:lncRNA from 1 species
GCUGGAUUCAGUUUUGCCAGCUGCAUCCAUAGUGUCUGACACCAGUUGGUGCUCAAGAAACAUGGGUGUUGAAUUUAAAAAAAAUUUUUUUUUUUUGGUUGUUGUUCAAAGGAUAAAGCAACAACUUAAAAAACAUGAAUUCAUUCAGAACUCUGGGGCUCAGAAACCAGACAACUUUCUCCUGUUCAGAAGAGGAAACUGAGACUCAGAGACAGGGAAGGACCAUCAGGGCUGCAGAGUCAGGGAGGCCAGAGAGGAGAGGCCGGGCUGCAGGUGCGACCCCUCACCUGCCGGUAUCCAUCUGUCACAGCCCACCUGCCUGUCAUCACCUAGCCUCCACCACGGGUAUCUGACGAAUGCUAACAGACCAGUCUCAGCCCUAAGACUUCAGCAGGAAGACUCUGGAAGCUGCUGGCAAAGUCGCCCUGCUCGUCAAUUCUUUUCUUAGUUUUGGAACAACCUGAAGAUGCACCAUCCGUCCAGAGAAGACCCAUUUCAC